UCUUCUCUUUGGUUGUCCCACACUGAGAAGCAAGAUGUAUUCAUUUGCCAUCUGUAUGGCAGUUUGUUGCCGUGCGAGACCGGCCUGAGCGGGCGCCGGCGGAGCGCGGGGGGAGGAGGGGGAGAGGCAAACGCCGCUUUCCCCUUACGCUCUGCGAGUUCAGCUUCACCCCGGGGACAGACGGAUCGCGACACGGGGCUCAGGUGUACUCUGCGCAUGUCCUUCCUGUUGCUAGAGGGUCUUUUUCUGCCUCCUGGUGGUCGUCUGGACGAAGGCUGGUGAUCUUCCUCUUCUAGCCCCUUCAUGGCCUUUCCUUAUUUGGUGAGUUUCCUACUUCUCCCUGGAACUUAAGACACCAGUUCACAACCAAGCAAAUUAAGCAAACAUGUCACAAGCAGUUCUUUCUUAACCGUCAUUCCCUUUAUCUACACAGCAAACAUGUCACAAGCAGUUCUUUCUUAACCACUAUUUCCUUUAUCUACACAACGAACUUGGUCGGGCACAUCCUGGUUCAGUGAACAAAUUUGACCAUUUAUUUAUCUCAAUUCCCCCCUUUUUCUAUUUAUCAUUUUGUUCACUGAAUCUCUGCAGCUCUUGUUGACUCAAUAUUAAGGUUUCAUCUAUUUCUUCUACUGGUUCAUAUUUUGCCCUUACAAGCAUUAAAUGUGCUGCUUCUAAGCAUCCUUUCACUAUGUCUAUAAGUUUAUUAAAUAUACAUGGCCCAAAAGUUAAUCCUAACACUACAAGCAAUAACAGUCCAGCUAUAGUUGAUAACAAAGUAGUCAACCAAGGAGCAUGAUUGAACCAUGAUUUAUACCAGCUUUGUUGGGCUUCCCUUUCACAUUUUCUCUGUUCUAUUCUUUUUCUUAACUCUGUCAUUGCAUCUAUUACAACUCCUGUAUGAUCUGCAUAUGCACAGCAUUCUUCUUUUAAUGCCACACACAAUCCUCCUUGUUGGAGUAGCAAUAAGUCCAAUCCUCUCCUGUUUUGCAAUACCACUUCAGACAAGGACCUGAGUGAUUUCAUUAAUCCAUCAAUAGCUUGCUCAAUCUUACUUAAAUCCUUGUCUACUGAAGGCCUGAGAGCUUUGAACUCUUUUUGUUAGUUUGCUAGAGAAGCCACCCCAGUUCCUGCUCCUAUCCCACCGAUGGUUAGGAGAGUUGCAAUAGUCAGCGCAGUAAGGGGUUCUCUCUUUGCUAUAUGAUGCUCUGGUAUAGUGUAUUGAUCAUACACAUAGCCAAUCAGCAGGUCUCCUCAAAUCUUCUAAAGUUCCUAUUACCCCGCAAAGAUGUUCUUUUUGCGUUGGGAUUUUUCCUAUAUAUCUCCCUUUCCCUGUUACCUGAGACAAGGUGAGUCCCAGUGUUGUCUCCUUACCCUUUUUCCAGAGGCACUGAUCUGGAUUAGUUUCAUUUACUCUUUUGGGCUCUGCAGUGAUCCCUAUGGCUUCAUAAAAUGGUGGUCUUAAAUUGUAACACAGCCAACAGUUAAUUUUGGGCUGGUUUUAUUUAAAACCCCAUAACUUGCUUUCAUAACCUUCCAGAGUGUAUUAUCCUCUUGGGGUUUUUCCUGUGGGGGGUUAUUGAUUUGAGUUCCAUUGUUACUUUGACUCUCUUCUUCUCCUUUUAGGGAAGGGGGAAUAUCUCCCCCUAAUAAUGCAGGGUUAGGUCCUACGGGUUCUGAUAAUGCAGGGUUAGGUCCUACAGGUUCUGAUUCGGACACUGCUUCCUUUUUAAUUAAAAUGUGUCCCCCACGAUCUGUCCCUGGCUCCCAUAAUCUAACUCCCCAAGUCUUCCCUGUCAACCAUCCGGGAUCCUCAGGUUUGGUUAUGUAUAUAUAUAUUCCCUCACAAUUCCCAAAGUAUUCGCCUAGUAUGCCCCCCCGCGACCAUGUUGGGCAGGCGUUCACCCAGGUGGUCUCCAUUUCACUCGCAGGUAAGGGUCCUCCCUCUCCGGUUUCCAAUCAGAGGCUAUAGUUUCACAUCCCCAGUAUGCACAAUAAUACUGUCUGGGAGAAUUGCAAUACCCUUUUCCUGGAUUCAAGCUAGGACAGAGAUAAAACCCCAAGUAAUUUAAACAGGGAUCCAUUACUAUGAGAUCACAAAGGGCACAUUUGAAACCCGGAGCCCCUGAGGUAAUUACUAUCUGUGCAACUUGUUGAUCUUCUAAUUUCAUUAAGGUCCAUUUAAAAGGUUCAUGAGUUGUUACUUCUGCAGUAUUGCAAGAUACACAAAGGGAAAUCACAAACAGUAAGCAAAUGGCAUGUGGGGUCUGGUUUCUCACACUGCAACAAUUAUACCCUUUUGAUUUAUCUUUCCCUAUUAGCUGGUUACCACCAAAGGAUCUUUGAGCCCAAAAAUCAUUCUUGCCUUUGCUGCUACCAGUCUUGGGGUAGUUCUGCAAAUAUUGCUUGCAUAUUCUAUCCUGAGGGCUCCUUCCUCCACAGCUGUUUACUUCUCUGCCUUGCCCCGUCGACUCGGGUGCUUCGAGCCACGGGGUGUACCAUCUUCUUGGCAGCAAGAGUGGUCUUCAGGAGGGGACUUAUACCCUCUAGUGGCCUGUCUUUUGCAAUACGAGCACCAGUUCUGGUCCUUCACCUCUGGUGCUGUACAACUAACCCCUUUUAGGUCUUUCCUGCAAAGGCCUUCUGUGAUCUCUACCACAAAUGGGCUCGGCUCAUUUAUAUGGUAAUAGUAAUAGCCUGGGUGGACACCCUUUGAGAGAAUUCUCCCACCACUCCUUAGAUUCCAAUUGGAUUUCUCCACUAGUUACCUUACAAGUUAAUACCCAAUUUGUAAUUCUCUUUGUAUCUUCCAACAAGAAUUACAAAUUCCUCUUGGGGGAUACCCUCUGUUGCAAUGUGACCACCACCUUUCCCUACACACCUUACAAUUAUAUCAUACAAAAGGAUAACAAUUACAAUUUUGAUUCUUGCAUUCUACUUUAACACUUGAAUUACUAAUUAAUCCAUUGUCUAAAUAAGUCUGAUGUGUAUUCAAUCUGAUAAGAGUUCCUUAAUUCUUCUGUAGUUUUAGUUUCAGGUCCCCCUGGAGGACUGGUUACUUGCCACACAGUGUUACAGUGUUGUUAACUGGUCCUUUUACUCGGCUGGCAUGUGUCCAUCCUUCUUCUGUGGUCCGAACUGCAGUUUCUUCAUACUUGAGGAGUUUAGAAUCUGUAAUCCACUUAUAAGCUUUUUAUUGUAAGAUUCCUCUAAUAUUAUGUGGAGAUAACACUUUUAGUUUUCCAUUAAACGUUAUUUUAUGAGCUUCUUUUACCAAAAGGGCGGCAGCUACUAUCGCUUGUAAGCAUGUUGGCCACCCUCUACUCACUAGGUCUAACAAUUUAGAGAGAUAUGCCACAGGUUUCUUUUUGUCCGCCCAUUCUUGUGUUAAAACUCCACAAGCAGUUCCCCCUUCUGUAUUAAUAAACAAAUAAAAGGGUCUAUUUAAAUCAUAAAGAAAUUUGACCUUUUGACUAUAAUUUUCAAUCCAUUGCCUACAAUAUCCAAUUAAACUUAAUAAUUGGUGCACCUGCCAUUUAUUUUUAGGGGGUGGAAUUGAGAGGAUUCCUUUUACUCUCUCGGGGUCAAUCCUUUUUACUCCCCUGCUUAAGUAAUGUCCCAAGUAUUUUACUUCCUUUUCUACAAACUGUAGUUUAGAUUUAGAUACUUUCAGUCCCUUUAAGUUUAAAAGGUUUAGUAAUUUAAUACUUUCCUGUCUUACUGCCUCUUCCUCUUUUCUAGCAAUUAGUAAAUCAUCCACAUAUUGAAUUAGGGUGACAUACAGGGCUCUAAAAGCCCUUUUUCCAGUAACCUAUCUAUUUCAGGCUUUAAUCCUAGUUUUCUUUCUCUAGGAAUAGGAUGUUGCUUUAUUCUUACAGGAUUGCCAGGAUUAUUUAUUUCUACUGAAAAAGGUUUGAUUUACAAUUUGCCUACUGUUUCUGGGGUAUACCUCAGGGUUAAUUUUCUUCUCAUCCUCUAUCCUUAAGGGACAGAGUCUUAUUUGUAGUUCUUUAAUUACAACUUCCAAACUAAUACCCAAUUCUAUUAUCAAAUCUCUUCCCAGCAGGUUAUAUUCUGCUUCAGGUAGCAGUAGCAAAGAACCUAUGCUAAAUUUCGAAUCGGUUUUAAGCAUUAUUUUUUAAUUACUGGCACCUCAAAGGGUUCCCCUUUAGCCCCUAUUACAUGUACAGUUUCAGAUUACUUCUUACAUCCCAAAGGUAAUCUCUGUACUGUGGAUCGUUCUGCACCUGUAUCAAUUAAAAACUCUAAUUCUUGUUGCUGGGGUCCUACUUUAAAUUUUACCAAGGGCUCCUUAUGGUGUUUUUCCCCCAGCAAAUAGAGCCCCUGACACACCUAAUCAUCUUUAAAAGCUCUUCCAUCUGCCAUUCGCUGUCGGCAUGCCCUUUUCAUAUGUCCUUUCUUGCCACAAUAGAAACAGGUAAUUUCCUCAGGAUUUCUUUCCCUUCUUUCCUCUGAACCGUAUUUCUGACUUUCUUUUUGUCCAAUCUCCCCUGCUUGAGGGUUCAGUUUAGGUCCCUUCUCACACAACCACAGCCAUAAUUUUGGCCUGCCUCCCUUCUAAUAUAAACCUUCUGUGCUUCCCGCAAAAGUUCCUCCAAUCCCCAAAUCUGCCAUCCAUCCAAUUUCUCCAACUUUCUUCUUAUAUCCACCCAUUAAUUGACCACAAACUGCAUUCUCAGCAGUGCUUCCCCUUCCUGAGUUUCAAGAUCCACUCCUGAGUACAAACGGAAGGCUUUCCUUAAUCUCUCUAACCAUUCUGUAGGGUCUUCCUCUUUUUUUCUGUUGCAAUCUGAAAGCCUUUUGCACAUUUUGCCCUCGCGGAACUGAUUGUUUAAUCCCCUGUUAUGGGUAAUAAACAUAAUUUGCGCCAUUCCUUGUAUGGAAUAUAUAAUGUUAAAUACUUGUUAGAUUAUACCUC